AUGGCUACGAGGGAGUCUUGAAGGGCUGCGUUUGCUUGUGGAACAGGAAUCACCAAUGGACCUUCUUAAGAAGAAGAAACACAUUCGUACAAGGGUUCAUUUCCCAGUGGUUAAAUGUACUGAGAAAAAUACAUUAACAAAGUAACUCAAGGAUACAACUGCUGUGAAUUCAAAAGACAGACUACUACAGGAAAAGAACAAUAAUCCAAACAAAUCUUGAACCAAUCUAUAAACAGAAAACCUGUUAUAUAAAUUAUUAUCUAUUUUUGCAAUACAUCAAAAUACUGUAUUGAUGAAAAUAAAUAGAUAACAAAAAACAAUAUACA
rnacentral:lncRNA from 1 species